UAAAUAGCCGUGGUAUUUUGACCAUGCUAAGGUAGCAUAAUCAUUUGGUUUUUAAUUGAGAUCUAGAAUGAAGGGUUGAACGAGAACUUUGCUUUAUUAUAUAUAUAUAUAUGAAUUUAUUUUUUAAGUGAAGAAACUUAUAUAAAAUUAAAGGACAAGAAGACCCUAUCGAGCUUGAAGUGUAUUAUAAAAUAUUAUAUAAUAUCCUAUUUGGUUGGGGCAACCGGGGAAUUAACUUCCACGAGUAGAAAUUUUUGUGAAAGAUAAAGUUACCGUAGGGAUAACAGCGUUAUUUUUUUUUAGAGUUCAUAUUGGAAAAAAAGAUUGCGACCUCGAUGUUGGAUUAAAGAAACCUUAAGGAGUAGAAGUUUUAUGGGUUAGUCUGUUCGACUAUUAAAUCUUUAC
rnacentral:rRNA from 1 species